AUUGAACGCUGGCGGCAGGCCUAACACAUGCAAGUCGAGCGGAUGAAGGGAGCUUGCUCCUGGAUUCAGCGGCGGACGGGUGAGUAAUGCCUAGGAAUCUGCCUGGUAGUGGGGGAUAACGUCCGGAAACGGGCGCUAAUACCGCAUACGUCCUGAGGGAGAAAGUGGGGGAUCUUCGGACCUCACGCUAUCAGAUGAGCCUAGGUCGGAUUAGCUAGUUGGUGGGGUAAAGGCCUACCAAGGCGACGAUCCGUAACUGGUCUGAGAGGAUGAUCAGUCACACUGGAACUGAGACACGGUCCAGACUCCUACGGGUGGCAGCAGUGGGGAAUAUUGGACAAUGGGCGAAAGCCUGAUCCAGCCAUGCCGCGUGUGUGAAGAAGGUCUUCGGAUUGUAAAGCACUUUAAGUUGGGAGGAAGGGCAGUAAGUUAAUACCUUGCUGUUUUGACGUUACCAACAGAAUAAGCAGCGGCUAACUUCGUG
rnacentral:rRNA from 1 species